rnacentral:rRNA from 1 species
AUGCGCAAAGGCAAAGCGGGGGACGCCCCCGCACGCACGCAUCGCACCCGCAUGCGGCGUGCUCCCUCCUUCCAGGUCGGGUCAGCGGCCGAACCGGAGGCGCACAGGCGCGUGCGUGCAUGUGCGCUCCGGCACCCUGGCGAAAUGAUUGAUUGGCCCCGGAUGGAGAGACGAACGACGCGCCACCGACGAGGUCGGCCUCCACACCCUAUCACGCGCGUCCGCCGCCACCAGGAGAGGAAGAUGUUGAACAUAUCUAUACAUGUAUCUGUUAGGAUAAUCUUGUACCGGCCUCACCUCUAG